GAACACUGUUGAUACCAGGUUAUAUCUGUACUGUCUUCCAACCUGAACACUGAUACCAGUUUAUAUCUGUACUGUCUUCCAACCUGAACACCAACCUGAACACUGAUACCAGUUUAUAUCUGAACUGUCUUCCAACCUGAACACCAACCUGAACACUGUUGAUACCAGGUUAUAUCUGUACUGUCUUCCAACCUGAACACCAACCUGAACACUGUUGAUACCAGGUUAUAUCUGUACUGUCUUCCAACCUGAACACCAACCUGAACACUGUUGAUACCAGUUUAUAUCUGUACUGUCUUCCAACCUGAACACCAACCUGAACACUGUUGAUACCAGGUUAUAUCUGUACUGUCUUCCAACCUGAACACUGAUGAUACCAGGUUAUAUCUGUACUGUCUUCCAACCUGAACACUGUUGAUACCAGGUUAUAUCUGUACUGUCUUCCACCCUGAACACUGUUGAUACCAGGUUAUAUCUGUACUGUCUUCCACCCUGAACACUGUUGAUACCAGGUUAUAUCUGUACUGUCUUCCACCCUGAACACUGUUGAUACCAGGUUAUAUCUGUACUGUCUUCCACCCUGAACACUGUUGAUACCAGGUUAUAUCUGUUCUGUCUUCCAACCUGAACACUGUUGAUACCAGGUUAUAUCUGUACUGUCUUCCAACCUGAACACUGAUACCAGGUUAUAUCUGUUCUGUCUUCCAACCUGAACACUGUUGAUACCAGGUUAUAUCUGUACUGUCUUCCAAC